rnacentral:snRNA from 1 species
GUAGUCUCUUCAGCAGCACAUAGACAAAAAUUGAAAUGAUACAGAAAUUAGCAUGGCCCUGUGCAAGGAUGACAAAAAUGUGUGAAGCAGUUCAUAUAGAUUUU